rnacentral:lncRNA from 1 species
CUAUCAACAGGGCUGAAAAACAGUAGCUGGUGUCAAUAAUAAGCCAUGAACACACAAACCAGGUUACGCUGCGGAAAAAGCGUUCUGGAUCUCAAUGGCUUACGAGGUUGUCUCCACAUAUUUACAUGCUAUGUCCAUCGCGAGUGAGCUAUGGCUCUGCUUCACGGCGUCCUGCCUUGGGAUUCGGGCUGACAGAGAAGCUUCUAUCUGGAACACUGGAGCAGAGGGAAAAGAGAGCUUGGCAAAGCCCAAACUGGCUCUUAGAGCUGGACGUGACACACAUUACUUGUCACCUUCCAUUGGCCAAAUCAGGUCGCAUGGCCAAGCCCAACAUGAUUAGGAAGAGAAACUCUUACUCUCCCCUAAGCAGACGCACGGUCACACUUGGAGGGAGAGCUUCAGGUGUACUUGCUGGGAGCCAGUGUGGAAGGUCGCAGGAGAAGACCCUUGUCAUAGCAAGACAACCUGCUGUGAAAGUUGGAGAGCACCAAGACUGCAGCCUGGAGACCAGAUUCGGACACACCUCUGACAGUGCUGGUCUUCCGGGUUGAGAAUCCCAGUAUCUUCUGGGCGUCUGCACCAGCCAGAAGGAACUGGGUGAGUUUUCCUUUUAAACUAGGCAUUCCAAAAAUGAUACCUUUUGUGUUCAAAUAAAUAUAUUUAUUUAUACA